AACAUAAAAAACAUAACCCUUUGAUGCUCUAGUCUUUGUCUGCUUGAUCACUCACUUCUUCUUUAUUUAUUUAUUUAUUUAUUUAUUUUUAUUUAUUUAUUUUGAAAGAGAGAGAGAGAGAGAGCCUGUGAGCAGGGGAGGGGCAGAGUGAGAGCAAGAGAGAGAAUCUCAAGCAGGCUCCGUGCUAUCAGCACAGAGCCCGACUCAGGGGUCGAUCCCAUAUGAACCUUGGGAUCAAGACCUGAGCCGAAAUCAAGAGUCAGAUGCUUAACCAGCUGAGCCACCCUGACUUCUCUCUUUUUUAAAACAUGUCCUCAAAUCACAAUGACUUCUCUUUGGGAGAGACUUGAAGCAAAGGAGAUAGAGACAUGUUUGUUUGGAUUACUGUGAGUGUGUUAAACUCUGUUUCUGUACCUCUUCUUUCUUUCAGAAAAUGGGCUUGGACUUCCUGUGUCUGUCUACAGUGGUUUGUUCCUGGAGUAUGCCCUGGGUCCAGAAUGCCAAAUGUCUUCUGGAAUUGAGGUUAAAUCUUUAUGAGCGAUUGGACACUGCCAUGGAUCCCAAACCGUCACCCUGUGCAUCAGAACCCGGGCAUCCUGUGAUUGCUUGUGCAGCGCGUGUCUCCUCGCUGACCCGCGAGCUCCUCGAGGCCACUCAGUGAGCUGUGCCCUGCUGCUGCCCAGAGCCCCACAUAGCGCCUGGCACGUGUCGCCGCUGGGACGUUCCUGGGGAGCGGAAGAGAAGCUCCAGCAUUCCAUGAGAAAGCUUGUUCUCUCGUGGCAUGGCACAAAUUUGUGACCUUGUUGGCAGGUUUUUUAUAGCUCUCCUGGCUUGAUGCUCUUUUCCGUGAAGCUCGCCCUUACUGAAUUCGCGUGAGGCAGCAAUGCGCAAGGUUAGAAAACUCCAUUUUCCGGCUUCCCUUCCUGCUAAAGUACCCUCGCAACUCAGCUCUAAGCAGUGAAACAUAAGGAGAAGUCUGUUGGAGAUCUCUGGAUAAGCUUUGCUUUUUCAAACACAGGUAUUGUUCGUGCCUCCUUGGCACUUCCUGGUCUUUCUGCCAAGAAUGUGGUUCUGACAACAGCACGGCAGCAAAAAUUGUCGGAGAUCUCAGCCCUGAGCCUCCCCACCAGCACUAGCAAUGGUGCCAAUAAGGAACAUUAAAACUUCUGAUUAAAGGAGACAGAUUUUAUGGAUGUCCAGAGCUCAUUUGCAUAAGUCCCUGGGUAGAUGAGGUGUCCGGGAGUCUCAGGGAGAGUGAGGUCACAAGCAAUCUGACUGACCGGGCAGUUCCAGCCUUCUGAGUGAAUGAGCACUUUGUCUUUGGGCUGAUAGGGACAUCGCUGACGAAUGUAAUUGGCUUGAAAUUGUCAUCCGGGCUUGAGCACACCUAGGGACCUGGCUUUGCCAGUUUCCUACUACAGUCUAGUUUCAAACAUAUUACUAUCACUCUGAAUGUAACAAUAUGCUCUUGGUUUUUCUUCCACAAUGUCCUGUCUGGGCUCCAUUAGUCUCUCUGGAAUCGAGCCCCAGUUGGGCAGUGGAAAACCCAAGGCUUGGAGCCACACCCACCUGCUUAACCCAACUCCACCGCUACACGGCUAGCGACCUCGACUAAGCUACUUAAACACCCAGUUUUAGGUUCCCCAUCUGUCAAAAGGCAUCAGUCUCCUGACUUCACUAGAUUGUCAGCAAAGGGGGUUUAUUUAUUCCCUGCCUCACCCAAUGCCCUUCUCUCCUCUUGCUGCCGAUGUUGAAUUGACUUGGAGCUUUGCCUGCUCUUUUCAACCUGAACCAAAUCAGGAAUUACCCACUUUGAAACUCUCCCGUAUGUAGUCUCUGGCAGUGCCAGAACCUGAGAUUGACUUGUCACACAUCAAAUGACAGAGUUUGGCACCUUUGUCUGUGCUCCCCAAGUUCCCUGGACUAUUGUAUAUCUAGGUCACAUCUGAUGAUUAUUAUUGGUCAGCACCCCUCCCAUUUUCAGAGUCUCCUAAACUUAGGGCCCUGUUGUAUUCAUUGUUUUCUCCCUAGCCCCUAGAACAGUUCUUGGCCCAUAACACAUGCCCACAGAUUUGAAGAAUGAAUGAGUGAAUGAAUGAACUCCUUGGGCAUUAUAUACAUCUUUGCAGUCCAGAAGGGUCCUAGUAAAGUGCUUUGUGCAUAUUCAUACUUAGAUGCCGUUUGUAGUCCGAGAACAUUCCAGUGCUUACUUCCCAGCUUUGGGGGGAUUCUCCCUAAUUGCUGCAACUUCUUACCACUUUCAUUUCUCGGUGUUGUGUAACUAGGACAGCAUGGAAGCCCCCAGAGUUAUACAACCCUGUUUACUGUAUUUUAUACUAUCUCUGUUCUUCCCCAAAUCUUCUCCCCACUAGACUACUCAAGGGAGGGCAACUGGGACCCUUAUCAAAAUAGGGCUGGCUAGUCUCUGGAAAAAAACAAAACAAGACAAAACAACAAAACAAAACAAAACACUGACCCUUGCUCACCACUUAGAACCUAGCAAGCUGUACCCGUAAGAGGUUACACUGGAAUCCUGUGGCCACCCAUUUAAUGAUGGUGACAGCCACGACUGACAUCCAUGAGCACUACAUUUCACUCAUUAACUCUUCUCAACAAACUUAGGAGGUAGGUAAGAUAAUUAUCCCUAUUUUAUAGAUGAGGAAACUGAGAUACAAAAAGGUCACGAAACUUGCCUAAAGCUACUGGUAACCAGUGAGGCUGGGAUUUGAGUCAAGGCUCUCUGAUCCAGAACUGGAACUCUUAACCACUGAGCUAUACUAAAAUUCAUUGUUACUUUGGCAAAAGAAUUUGGUGGCGUUGGUCCGAUCCAACGAAAUCUCAGUUUUUGACUUAUUGACAGGAACUCCCGAAAGGAUAAUUUCACGUACAUAUCACUCCUUUUUCCUCCCAGUUGGAUCUCAAAGAUAACGUCAAAGUAAAUUUCCACAUGGGCUUGCCUAGUCUUAUUAUGGCCUAGUCAGUAUUUUAAAAUUUCAUUUAGAAGAACCUGUAAUCUGGUUCCCAGUCUCCCUUCUUUGCCUGUUUCACAGAAUGCAUCUUGCUUGCCCAGAGAGCAAGCCUGGCCAGUCACGAGCCUACAGGACUGUGUGCACAGUUGGGCCAGGAAUGAAAAUAACUCCACCGUAGUAACAAUCCGUCAUUCUGUCCAUCUGCUGCCCUAGAGGGAUCUUAAAAUAGUUUCAAUUCACCUUUAAAAUCCACUGCUCUGUGAAGGGCUUGUAACACUUGGCGGCCGGAGGAACCUGCCUGUGAAACAGAGCUGGUAUUCGGACUACUGGUGUCCAGCUGUAAGCCUUUUUGGAGGGAAACAAACCAUCCAUUCAUUGGGCCCUUGUGAAUUUUUCCUUCCCCACCAGCCCUCCCAGCAGAGGAGAAUACCUGGAGGAACAGCGUUCUGGGUUUCUGUUCUCCCUAACGUGGCACUUGAUUGUUUAUUUUUCAGUUUGUCUACUCUUUUUUUUUUUUUUAUCCUGCUAAACUUUUUCUCUUCCAACUCCCCAACCCUACAACUUUCUCCUUCUUUUGGCUUUAUUUUCUUCAGCCUUAAAGCUGGGGGAUUGGGCAUGAGUUGCUGUUUAUAAUCUAGAUAUUUUAGAUCAGUUAGUGGGGUGACCACUUAUAAUGUAUCACCCAAACUAGGGCACUUCCGAGGAUGAGAAGAAGAGAGCUGCUAACAAUUAGGGUAGGAGUAAGAGGAGUAAACCGGGACCUUCUUGGGCAAGCCCAGACACAUGGUCACCCACUUCAGCUCUGGCUCUGUUGCACAGCACCUAAACAGUGUUUAAAGGCUUACCACACAGCAGCGGAGAUAAGAACACUGAGCCUUCUUGCUCUUGGCUCUACUUGCUAACUGUGGUCUAGGUCUCGAACAGAACAUGGUUGAUGAGGAUUAAAAGAGUACAGAUUGGGGGUGCCUGGGUAGCUCGGUUGGUUAAGCGUCUCUCUCUUGAUUUUGGCUCAGGUCAUAACCUCAUGAUUGUGAGAUCGAGCCCCACAUCCGGUUCCGCAGAGUGUGGAGCCUGCUGAAGAUUCUCUCUCUCUCUCUCUCUCUCUCUCUCUCAGCAAAAAGAAAAAAGCAGGACAGAUUGUUCUCUUUUUUGUUUACUGUAUCUUUCACCUAUAAUGAUCGUCUAAUUCUGUAUUUUUCCAAAGGGCCACAGGCUCAAGAGCCUAGUGGGUCUCUAUUUUAAAUUUUUUUUUUUCAACGUUUAUUUAUUUUUUGGGACAGAGAGAGACAGAGCAUGAACAGGGGAGGGGCAGAGAGAGAGGGAGACACAGAAUCGGAAACAGGCUCCAGGCUCUGAGCCAUCAGCCCAGAGCCUGAUGCGGGGCUCGAACUCACGGACCGCGAGAUCGUGACCUGGCUGAAGUCGGACGCUUAACCGACUGCGCCACCCAGGCGCCCCUUGGGUCUCUAUUUUAAAUUUGAAAGUUACACUGUAAAAUUUCAAUCUCGCACUGAUUGUUUUUCCAUUUUAAAUCCUAAUUAGGGUGUGAAACCAAGUUUAAAAUAAACUUACAGUUAUGCUGCUUGAUUAUUCUUUG
rnacentral:lncRNA from 1 species